AGAUGCACUAAAAAGGGUUGAAGCCCACCAGAUGAGAAUCUGGUAAAAAGGAAAAAGAAGAAUCGAGACAAAGGGGAAGGGCCACGCAACAGAAAAUAGAGAAAAGGGGAUUUGGUGAAAUCCUAAUAAAGAAAAAAACUUUACAAGAACAAAGAAGAAGAAGAAGAAGAAGAAGAAGAAGAAGAGAGGAGAAGAAGGAGGAGGAGGAGGAGGUUUAAUUCUUGAUGCCUGUUCAUAAUCCUUAUAGCACAGCCUCUUCUCUGGUUAAAAGGUAGUUGAAGAAGUGGAACGAAGUACUCGAGGUGAUGCGUUUGGUAUUCCUGCACGAGUAAUGUAGUUGAAGAAGUGGAACGAAGUGCUCGAGGUGAUGCGUUUGGUAUUCCUGCACGAGUAAUGUGAGUAUUAAUCUUACCUCAAUUUGUGUUUUCAUAACUUUCAUGGUUUAUAUAUGAUUUUGAAAAUAAAU